rnacentral:rRNA from 1 species
UACAGAGGGUGCAAGCGUUAUUCGGAAUUACUGGGCGUAAAGCGCGCGUAGGCGGUUUGUUAAGUUGGUUGUGAAAGCCCCGGGCUCAACCUGGGAACUGCAUCCAAAACUGGCAAGCUAGAGUACGGUAGAGGGUGGUGGAAUUUCCUGUGUAGCGGUGAAAUGCGUAGAUAUAGGAAGGAACACCAGUGGCGAAGGCGACCACCUGGACUGAUACUGACACUGAGGUGCGAAAGCGUGGGGAGCAAACAGG